UAUCUCUGUAGAGUCUGCAUAUCAAUAAGCGGAGGAAAAGAAACUAACUAGGAUUCCCUCAGUAACGGCGAGUGAAGCGGGAAGAGCUCAAAUUUGAAAUCUUCAAGGUUCUACCUUGACGAAUUGUAGUUUAAAGAAGUGUUUUCUGUUGGAGUUUUGGUAAAAGUUCUUUGGAAUAGGACAUCAUAGAGGGUGAGAAUCCCGUAUUUGACCAUUACUUUCCAGCGUUGUGAUACACUUUCAAAGAGUCGGAUUGUUUGGGAAUGCAGUCCAAAAUGGGUAGGUAAAUUUCAUCUAAAGCUAAAUAUUGGCGAGAGACCGAUAGCGAACAAGUACCGUGAGGGAAAGAUGAAAAGAACUUUGAAGAGAGAGUUAAACGGUACGUGAAAUUGUCAAAAGGGAAGCGUUUGACACCAGUGUUGUUUUCUCGAAAAUCAAUUAAAAAAGGCAGGAUUUUGUGUUGUAUUGACUUUAAUCAGCUUUCUUCACUCUUUUCAUUGUCUUUUUUAAUGCACUUUUCGUUUAACAAGUCAACAUCAAUUUCUUUUGUUGUAAAAGGGUCAUUGGAAGGUGGCUUUCUUUUCGGAGAAAGUGUUUAUAGCCUUUGGCCUCUGCAAUCGGAGAGAUUGAGGUCUGCAGCGUAGAUCCUUCGGGGUUAGAUACAUUUGUGCUAAGUUAUAGCCUUUCAUAGACAACUUGUUGACUAUGAUCAGUCAUGUAGCUUACUCGCCUAUGCUAUUUUACCUACGCUUAGGAUGUUGAGUCAUCACACAUCUCU
rnacentral:rRNA from 1 species